rnacentral:misc_RNA from 1 species
AAAGUCGUAACAAGGUUUCCGUAGGUGAACCUGCGGAAGGAUCAUUAUUGAAUAAACUUGGUGUAUUGUAGCUGGCUCUUUGGAGCAUGUGCACAUACAUCUUUGUUUCUUUCCACCUGUGCACCCUUUGUAGAUCUGGAUACCUUUCGAGGAAACUCGGUUUGAGAGUUGCUGAUUUCUUUGAAGUCAGCUUCCCUUACAUUUCCGAUCUAUGUUUUUCAUAUACCCCUUAGUAUGUUUAGAAUGUUUAUAAUCGGCUUUUAUGCCUUUAAAAUUAAUACAACUUUCAACAACGGAUCUCUUGGCUCUC